UUAAGUUCAGCGGGUAUCCCUACCUGAUCCGAGGUCAAACUAAAGAGGUGAGGUUGCUGGCCAGCGGCCGCCAGGGCUCAAGCAGCGAGGAGUAUUACUACGCUGAGAGCCUGACGGCGCCGCCACUGAUUUUGAAGCCGGCGGGGGGGCCCGCGGGGCUCAACACCAAGCAGAGCUUGAGGGUUGUACUGACGCUCGGA
rnacentral:misc_RNA from 1 species